rnacentral:lncRNA from 1 species
GGACUCAAGGUUCAAGUUUCAUUUCAACCGUCAAAAACCAAAUUAAUGUAGGUACAAUGUAGAUGGAAAAAAUGAUAUUUAUUUCGCUUAUUUAUUAUUAGAGUGCAUAGUACAAUUGUGUAAUGACAUAACUUCUGAGAGAGAUUGAAUGUAACAACAAUUACAUAAUACAAUAAUAUAAUACAAAUUGAUGAUCCAACUUAAUUAAAAGACCUAAGAACAAAGACUGAAUUAGGAGAAAUAUCAUAAAAGUAUGAAUAUUGUAGUUUUAAAUGUAAAUAUACUCUUAGAAGUGCCAGAAAAUUAUUUUAGAAGUUUUUUCUCUUUUGAUAAACACAUCGACAAACACUUCCUACACACGCUGGACUGUUAGGAACGAGACACCGCAAUUUAAUGCAGUUUUUAUCUUCGUAGCAAAAUUGUAAAUCUGUGAUGUCAUAUAACAAAAAAAAGAAGAAUAUUAAUAAUGUUGUGCAUAAGAUAUAGAAGAAUUUUGAGGAGAAAAGAGCAAAUGCACUUACAUCCACCUUCUGUUACAAUAAUAAACACGAUAAGAAAAAUUAUCAUAAUAUAAGUAAAUUUAAAAAUCUCUGUCAUAUUUUACUCAUUUUCUCGGGAAAAUAG